AUGGUUCAGGUGCGCGGCUGCGUGAGCGCGGCGAUUCGGUUUGAUUUUUCCACGGGGGAACGGUGGAAUUUUCUGGUGUUUUCUAAGCAACUGGUGGGCGGCCGUGGGCACGGCUUUGGAUAUUUUUGGCAUUCCAGCGUUUUCCCCGUGCUGCUACACUGGUCGCUGCCAUUUCUGAUAUUUUUGGCGCCUAGCAACCGUGUGGGAUCUACGAAGUCAGGGUUUACGGGGACGAAUUUUACGUGUUGGGUUUCAUUGGAAAAAAUAAUUCACGGAAGUAGGGGAGCAGAAUCCUGUCGAAACACGUCCAUUCUGGGGUUGCUAUUUUGUUGCUGCGGAUGUUGUGAAGCAACUCGAGCUGGUAGCAUGACUUGUUCUAAUUUUGCAGUUUUGAAUUGGAGGAUUUCCUGUAGCGAGCCUUUGGUGACUGUUAUCCCCGAGUUUUCAGGUGGAAAUGGCUUGUAG
rnacentral:rRNA from 1 species